ensembl:snoRNA
GGGAUGUGCUCAGAGCAGGGGGCCCUAAAGAAUGGCUCCUCUGUUUAUAACACACCCAACAAGAAUCUAGGGUGAUUGUGAUGAGGGGCACACAAAAUUCGUGGCCUUCUUAUGAACAAGUCCCCUACAUGU